rnacentral:rRNA from 1 species
UUGACGGGGACCCGCACAAGCGGUGGAUGAUGUGGAUUAAUUCGAUGCAACGCGAAAACCUUACCUACCCUUGACAUGUCUGGAACCUUGGUGAGAGCCGAGGGUGCCUUCGGGAGCCAGAACACAGGUGCUGCAUGGCUGUCGUCAGCUCGUGUCGUGAGAUGUUGGGUUAAGUCCCGCAACGAGCGCAACCCUUGUCACUAGUUGCCAUCAUUUGGUUGGGGCACUCUAGUGAGACUGCCGGUGACAAACCGGAGGAAGGUGGGGAUGACGUCAAGUCCUCAUGGCCCUUAUGGGUAGGGCUUCACACGUCAUACAAUGGUCGGUACAGAGGGUUGCCAACCCGCGAGGGGGAGCUAAUCCCACAAAGCCGAUCGUAGUCCGGAUCGCAGUCUGCAACUCGACUGCGUGAAGUCGGAAUCGCUAGUAAUCGUGGAUCAGCAUGUCACGGUGAAUACGUUCCCGGGUCUU